GGAAAGAACUCAACUCAUCAUACUAAUAGUAAUUCAUUUUUCUCACAAAUACUGCAGCGAAAAAAUCUUCAUUGGGAAAUAAUUGUUAAGGAAAAACACAACAGAAAGCAUCACUUAACGAAUCACACUUUUAAGUUAGGCUCACCAUCUCGUCAUGACCUGCACGGUGUUCCAAUAUAGAGUUGAGCACAAACAAGGAUGAGAACAAGAUAGUAGCUCUCUGUUCCGACUUUCACACAAG
rnacentral:misc_RNA from 1 species